AUUCGUAUAAGCGUUGGCAUUUAUUUGAACAAGUGAAACGGCAGUUAUUUACUGGCAUACAAAUAAUUUUAGUUUACCACAUUUAAAUUGCGUCAAGUUGGUUUUUGUGGCUUGAUAAUGAGGUAACAAAGUCGGCAGAUUUUUAUUGUAUGCGUGAAAUGUUACCCACACAUACAUCCAGACGAGAAUCCUUGCCGCAGGACAGGAUAUUUUUUCCAAGGAUACUCUUAGCCGGAAAACGAGCGGAAAUGAUGCGGAUUUAGAUAUGUAUGUAUCGCAAUUUCACACCUCAACUUCGGGGCAUAAAUGGGAUAUGCACUUCGUUGGAUGUAUGUAUCAGUAGCCAUAGAACCCGGGGCAUAGUACCAGUGUUUGUAAGCUAAACAAAUUUAUUUAUUUUACGUGUAUGGCGGCAAACAUAUUUACAUACAUACAUGCAACAUUAAGAUGAUUGUAUAUGUACAUAGAUACAUACGUAUGUGCACGCAGCCUUGAAUAAAGCGAAACUUAUG